rnacentral:rRNA from 1 species
CCUACGGGUGGCAGCAGUGAGGAAUAUUGGUCAAUGGGCGUAAGCCUGAACCAGCCAAGUCGCGUGAAGGAUGAAUGCCCUAUGGAUUGUAAACUUCUUUUAUAUGGGAAUAAAGUGUGCCACGUGUGCCGUUUUGUAUGUACCUUAUGAAUAAGGAUCGGCUAACUCCGUGCCAGCAGCCGCGGUAAUACGGAGGAUCCGAGCGUUAUCCGGAUUUAUUGGGUUUAAAGGGAGCGUAGGUGGCCUGUUAAGUCAGUUGUGAAAGUUUGAGGCUCAACCAUAGAAUUGCAGUUGAAACUGGCAGGCUUGAGUAUAGUAGAGGGAGGCGGAAUGCGUGGUGUAGCGGUGAAAUGCUUAGAUAUCACGAAGAACGCCGAUUGCGAAGGCAGCCCACUGGACUGUAACUGACGCUGAGGCGCGAAAGCGUGGGGAUCAAACAGGAUUAGAUACCCUAGUAGUC